UUACAUGUUUCUAGAGCUGCAACACAAAAUAUUGUAGAGGAUUUGCAUAAUCUGCUGUCUUUUUCUAACAGUCAGACUCUUAACAGUGUCAAAGAGAUCCUUUUAAAUCAUAGAAUUGAAAUAAAUGAUUCUAUUUUGCAAGAAAUUUCUGAUGCUGUAGUUCAAACUAAUCCACUACUAAUCCACUACUUUUAACAACAUCAAAGAACGGUUCCUUAUCUACAGAUUACCGAAGGAAUGUAUAUUUCAAGGAACAAUUUUUUGUUAUAGAACCCAUAGAAUAUCUGUAAAACACACCCCACACGCCAUCAAAUUGUAUUUGAACAAGAAGCUUUAUCAGGGCACUUUAGAGACAGAGAAAAUAAGAUACUAGGAGAGCAAAACAAAUGUAUCAGUUUGGCAUUCUAUAUUGAUGAAUUUGAAGUUUGUAACCCGCUCGGCACCUCUAGAAAACUUCAUUAGAUAACUGCAGUAUAUUGGGUUGUUCUAAAUUUACCAUCCAAGUUCCGGUCAAGUCUUACUUCAAUUCAGCAAGCUGUCAUGGGUAAAAGUGUAGAUGUCAAGAAAUACGGUUUUGAAAAGUUUCUUGAACCGCUGAUUAAAGAUAUAAGAUGUCUAGAACAAGAGGGAAUUUUUGUUGACGUUUUAGGUCAGUUUGUAAAGCAGUAAUUCUCAACUGGUGGGUCGCGACCCACUUGUGUUUGAAAAAUCUGAUCUCAAAAGGUGUCAUUACAUUUGAUGCACUCAAUGAAAGUAUAAAAUCAUUUACCUACAAGUAUUCAGACAAAGUAAACAAACCACACAAAAUUCCAAAAGCAAGCUUUGGAAAAGGAACUAUUGGCAAAAAUGGACAUGAAAAUUGGACACUGCUGCUCUUACUCCCUUUCAUAAUUGGAUGUAAGAUAACAGAACAGGAGCCUGCAUGGGAGAUGUUAAUGGACUUGAAGGAAAUUGUUGAGAUUGUUGUGUCAAACAGACUGUUGGAAGAAACAUUGUUUUAUUUAUCUUGUAAACUACUGGACCAUCGGAAGUUGCUCACAAAUACCUUUCCGGAUUUCAGACUACAGCCAAAAGACCACUUCAUGGACCACUCCCCACAUCUUAUUCGCUGCUAUGGACCUUUAGCGGAAUUAUGGACAAUGAGAUUCGAAGCUAAGCAUAGCUUCUUUAAAAAGGUGGUCCAUGACACUCAUAACUAGAAAAAUGUGCUGCUCACUCUUUCCACCAAACACCAACAAAUGAUGGCAUACCAUCUGGAUAAUAAUAACCUUUUCAAGCCUCAACUUGAAAUGGUAAAAGUGGUCAGGGUUUCAAAAUUAGAUGCAUCACUUAAGUGUGAAAUACAAAAGAAGUACCCAUAUCUUGACAGUGUGUCUCUGUCUAAAACGAUUCACCUGCAUGGAACUCAGUAUGCGGAGGGAAUGAUUUUAUCGAGUGGACAGUGCAGUGGCCUCCCAGAAUUCCAUAAGAAUGUUACUAUUCUUGUCAACACUGAGGAGGUGGCAUUCAUUUGUAAAAGACUCUCUUCCUGGUACAUUGAACAUUUCAGGUCUUAUGAGCUUGUUGAAGGCCACUGUUCAGAAAUUGUCAUUCUGGAUCCAGAUAUGCUGACGGAUUACCACCGUCUCGCAGCAUACACAGUUGGUGGAAAGUUGAUGGUGACCAUAAGAACAUUCAUUCUCCAUUAAAGCAACUCAAAAUGGUAUGUUGUCUUGUGCCAGCUGUUUAAUUUUAACAUUUCUACCAAUUUGGAAAACAUUAUAGUGGUACUGCAACAGUUACAUGAUCUAUUUUUAUAAUGAGUAAUACAUUAAAAACACCACUGCAAUCUCUUCAAGAUGUUGGAUGUCUCCUAUAAACAGGUUUGACUAUUUUCUCCUGUUUUUUCUUCUAUCUUUUUGUUGCUUCGUGUAGUUUGUCCUCCAGAGAAGCCCGGCGAGUCCAGCUGCCUGAAGUGCCAGGAUCUGUGGCUGAACUGAUUGAUGAACUUAAAGAGAAACUCGAACUUGAUGGGGAUUUUUACCUACAGUUUGAGGAUCCAGAUUUUGGAAAUGCACUUUGUAAGUUGACAGCAAUGUCUGAAUUACCAGCUGAGCGUGCAGUCCUGCAUAUUAUGUGGAACUGUGAUUCAUCUGCCCCUCACUAAUCCAGCAACAGUUCCAUUUGUUCAUUCUCUUCUCUUGAUACAGCAAGUGUUCACUCUGAAGAUUUCAGGUCCAGCUAUACUGAUUCCAUCAUGAGCAAUUUAAGACAUGUUGCAGGGUGGCCCACUCCAUUCCCUAUUCCUAAAUUCUCAUAUGAUGUUGAACUUAAAUUGCGAAAGGGGAAUGAGGCAUAUGAAAAGUCAAAGAAGGGCAUUGAUGUGACAAGAGACAUGAAAAUGGAUAUUUUGGAUAAACUUGCACAAGCAAUUAUUGAAUUUAAAAGCUACCCUGAGAAAGAGGAACUUGAAUCAGUUGCCUCUUCAUUGGUUCUCAAGUAUCCAUGUCUGAAGGAGCCAGGUAGCAGUAAGGGGUAUGAUGGAUGGAAAACAAGUAUCAAGCACAAGCUCGGAAACUACAGGUCAAAGCUUCGUCAGACGGGCUGCAAUGAGGUGAAUGUCAACAGAAAAAGAAAAGGGGGAGAUGAAGAUUACACUUCUUUCACCCUGAAAAGGCCCAAACGUGGUGAGGUCAAUCAUGUCCCAGAUUAUCCACAAUAUCAUGAUGAUUCUACUCUUGAGGAGGAAAGAGUUUCUCUGGUAGACGAAAUGAAGAAGAAGAACAACACAUUGAUCCGGCAAAAGAUGGAGCUAACAUUUUCCCUUAGACGAAAAGAGGUAGUAGAAGGGAAGCCUAUGGUUUCAGAAGUGCAGGCGGGAUGGCCUGUUUUGUUUUCCAUUGAGGAGGUAAGGCUCAUUUAUUCUCUUAUAAUGCUUUUUGCAGUGUUAAAUUGGGCAGGAUCAAUCAUACUACCUUGACUUGAAAAAAAAUGAUGGUUUGAUUUGUAUUGAAUUCUUGGUCCUUAAGAUUUAUGUUUACAAAUGCCAUACCUCAUAAUACUUGAAUUCUAAAACAAUUGUAUAUAUUUGCAUACAAUUUCUGUUAAAAAAAAUGGCGUAUACUACUGUACUACAGAAAUGUUACUUACACAUCAUAUGGCUUUGUCUUGUUAUUAUGUUAUUAUGUUGGUCAGAUAUCUGAAGAAUUCCAUCAGAUCACCAGCAAAGACCUCCUGGGUGAUUUAACUGCAUCCCUUGAAAGAUAUGUCCGAUGCCUGCUGAGACUUUAUCGGACAAGGAAGGGAGCUUUUGGGCAGAAGAUGGAAGACCUCCUGGAAAAGCUCAAUGUACAGACAUCGGACAUUGUGUCUUACCGAAAGACAGCAGCAUUGAGAGGCCUGCCCAUUUUUCCGCUGGACAACGCAACAAAAUUUCUCCUGGAGUGUUUGAUGCAGGGCGGUGGAGUCAACAUCAUCGAAGCGGAAGAAAACCUGAAGGCUUUUCAAAAAAAGCUACCGUUAUGGAAACGACGAACAGAGAACGAUAACUUCGCAAACUUUCCCCUGCUGGACGACUGUGUAAGUAAGAUCGAAGAUGUAUCUGGAAUCGGAGACAUUUCUGUACCCGCGGAACUGAAGUAAGUAAUUACCACGCACUUAGAUGAGCUUGCAAAGUCUCUCAACGGAUACUUCCCUACAAGAGAGUCAUAUCCAGCAUGGGUGAGACAGCCGUUCACGUUUAGUGUCGAGACAAUGAUGAAUUCCUCGAUGAAAUCAUUAAAAUUCAGCAGAGCCAGGUUCAACAGCAACUCUUCAGAACAACAUUGCUCUCAACGUUUUGGUGUCAACAAAUGGUACCCUGUUAUUGCUAAGAAAGCUCUGGAGAUUUUCAUACCGUUUGUUACAACAUAUCUUUGCGAGCAAUCCUUUUCGAGGAUGCUGGACAUAAAAACGAAGAAAAGGAACAGACUUUGUUGUGAAAAUGACAUGAGAGUGGCACUUGCCAAGGUGAAGCCGCGCAUUUCUGAACUGGUCUCUGAAAGGCAACAGCAGAAGUCACACUGAUUUGCAGUAAAUAUUCAUUAUUAUGUUUUUGUUUUUGUGUGAAAAUCAUGUUUUAAUGGUUUUGUUCUUUGAACACUGAUGUUGAUGCACGGUU